rnacentral:lncRNA from 1 species
UCCAUACAUCCAAAAUUUCAUAGCAUCCAUAUAUACAUAUAGUUCCAUAGCAUCCAUACAUACAUAGCUCCAUAGCAAAUAUAAUACACAACGAUACUUUGCGGGCAUUAGUAAGUAAUAUUUGGCACUAACAAGAGCCUUGAGCGCAGGCUUCAGGUUGGUUUGGUAGGUGGUACCAAGGAUCUCAGCUGGGGAGGAUCCUUUUGCAUUUACCUCGUACUGAAAAUCAAUAUUGGGUUUCAACCUGCAAAAUGGCACAACAGUGUUUGACAGUAAGACAAUAAGCUCUACAUAUAUAUAUUGACGAAACAUGAUUCAAAGAAUAAACAACAGAACCACAAUAAAAUGAGUCUGCCACUAAGCACGACAAUACUUAAGAAUACAGCCUUACAUAAAAUCUUUCCCGGUGAUGUUUGACAGUUGCUACCUAGAGAUUUACACAAGGGAAAUUCACCAUAGAGAACUCUCAUGGUCAUGCCUUUGGUAAGGAACUAAGGACCACAUCAGUGCAGAUCCAAUGCCAUUUAUGUAGUAGCAAUGAACAACAUGGACCAGUGGUUAAUGGUUAGCCUUNN